GGCCUUUUGUUUAUAUUUAAGGUCUAGCCUGCCCAAUGAAUUAAUUUUUAAAUGGCCGCGGUAUCUUGACCGUGCAAAGGUAGCAUAAUCAUUAGUUUUUUAAUUGAAAGCUAGCAUGAAUGGCUGAAUGAGGAAAAGACUGUCUUCUUAGAAAUUUUAUUAGAAUUUUAUUUUUAAGUUAAAAAGCUUAAAUAAUGUUUAAAGACGAGAAGACCCUUUAGAAUUUUAUAUACGUUUAAAUUUUAAGUUUUAGGGAUUAAUAUUUUAUGUUUUAAAUUUGUAUUUAGUUGGGGUGACUAAAAAAUUUGAUUAACUUUUUUUCUAUUGAACCAUUGAUUUAUGAUUAUUUGAUCCAUUGUUUAUGAUUAAAAGAUUAAAUUACCUAAGGGAUAACAGCGUUAUUUUUUUUGAGAGUUCUUAUCGAAAAAAAAGAUUGCGACCUCGAUGUUGGAUUAAAAUUAAAUUAUGGUGCAGUAGCUUUAACUUUAGGUCUGUUCGACCUUUAAAAUUUUACAUGAUCUGAGUUUAAACCGGUGUGAGCCAGGUUGGUUUCUAUCUUAAAUUAGUUUAAAUGUUUUAGUACGAAAGGACCGGGUAUUUUCUUUAUAAUUUUUUACUAGGCUGCCAUUAGUUAUUUUGGCAGACUAGUGCAAUAGAUUUAGAAUCUUUAUAUGUGGUUCUUUUUACAUUUAACACUUGUUAAUAGUAGAUUUGUUAUUAUUGUUUAUUACAAGGUUAAUUUUGAUUAUUUUUAUUUUAGUCGGUGUUGCUUUUUUAACUUUAUUAGAACGAAAGGUU
rnacentral:rRNA from 1 species